UAGCAAAUACUCGAGCGAUAUCCUGGAGAUCUGAUGUGGAGAAGGGUUCCAUGUGAACAGCCUUUGCACAUGGGUCAGUCUGUCCUAAGCUGCAGGAGAAAUCCGGGUUCUGGCGAAAUCGGCGCUCCCGCUCAAAAUAAAAUGAAAAGGGUGUCGCUGCCAAACCUAAGCGAGAGGGAAUCCGGUACUGAUUCCGGAACCUGGUCACGGAUAACCUCUCUUCGGAGAGGGUCGUUGGGGUCCUCGUGAUCUACACCGUAAGGUGGCUAAACUCGGGGAAGUCGGCCGCUGUCCCGGGCAGAGUUUUCUGUUCUGUAUAAGGGCCCGGAUCCCUGGAAUCGCCUCGCGCGGAGAGAGGGAACUGGUUUUACUUUUAGCCCGAAGAGCCCCGCAGUUCUUGCGGGGUCCGACUUGGCAUGGCGGUCGAACCCAUGAAACACUCGAGGGAGGGCGUACAACUUUCGUGCCCAGCCCU
rnacentral:rRNA from 1 species